CGUCAUCAACAGAUCGUUCGGGUUCACUAAAACCAUUAUCUACUUGGCUAAGCUCCUCGUAUAAAUCGUCACCAACGUCUUGACAGUCACUUAUGUUUGAAAGGUCGUCAGUGUUCAUUCUUGGUCCUUAAAUUUGAAAUGUUUUGAAAUAAUUUUAUC